UACGGGGGGGGCAAGCGUUGUUCGGAAUUACUGGGCGUAAAGGGCUCGUAGGUGGCCAACUAAGUCAGACGUGAAAUCCCUCGGCUUAACCGGGGAACUGCAUCUGAUACUGGAUGGCUGGAGAUUGGGAGAGGGAUGCGGAAUUCCAGGUGUAGCGGUGAAAUGCGUAGAUAUCUGGAGGAACACCGGUGGCGAAGGCGGCAUCCUGGAUCAACACUGACGCUGAGGAGCGAAAGCCAGGGGAGCAAACGGG
rnacentral:rRNA from 1 species